rnacentral:sRNA from 1 species
UAAUAGCCCUGAUGGAAACGGCAUCCUUUUUUAUUUUGUUAUCUCGACUCCGCUCAAUAUGACAAAAUAAAAAAGAUACAGUGUACAGCAGGAAUAAGC